UAUCCCCUCAUCCCACUCAUUCAGGAGAAAACAGAGGGCAGACUGUGGGGGACGAGGGAGGGACAGAAGUCAAACUGAGAUUUUCUGUCAGCAGCUGUGAAGAGCCUGGAAUUAACUAACUUGGCAGGACUUUAAGUCAAAAAGGCACCAAAUUACAGUAUUUUCUGGCGGCUGACUUCAUCGUCAUCUUCAACAAUCAGAACAUGACCAACCUUCUGCAGAGGUCCUGCCUGAGGCUGCUUGCUGGCUGCCUGUGAGAUUGUCCUGCCCUGAAGCAAUGUGGGCGUUGCUCUACCCAACCCAAAGGCCUAAAAUGUGCUCCUUCUUGGUUUCCCACUCUGCUGUGGGCCUUUGGAUCCAGAAAUGUAUUUUAGAAAAAAAAUAAGGAUUUAACAGUCAUUGUUUUCACCAAUGAUUAUCCUUCUGUCAUGGCCUUUCACUGUCACCUUCUGCUGCUCACCUUUACAUCAUGUUUAUUAUUUAUUGUCAUUUUUGUGUUUUUUGAGCAUUUCAGGGACCUUUUCAUCGGUUUUCUUAGUUUUCAGCCAAGACUAUAAGAAAAACCGGGGUGUGACAAAACACACACACAACCACUUUGGUUUUUAUUUGUAGGGGCGUCCUCCUUUCUUUGGUCACUCACUUUUUAAAUGUUUGUUUAUACCGCCCUCUUCUGGACAUUCAGAAAAUCAAACCUGCCAAAUGACUGAUUUCAUGGACACAGCUCUGAAUCCUUCGCAUAUGUACAGAUAACUUCUCUCUAAGUCUAAUCAAUCUAACGUUAUACGUCACUGUGUGGGAACUGUUCUUUACAUUUGUACAAAAACGGUGUAAUUUUUGCACAAAUGUUUUGCAUUUGAGGAGCAGCUAACCUUUUAAGAGGUUGUCUAACUGAUAUCAAUAAACACAUAAUUAUC